UGUUGAGAACGCGGGGAGCUAAUAACACGUUAUAGGAUGAGUACGGUAUUCUAAAUUGUGAACGAGUGUAAUUCUGUGAGACAGUGCAGUUCGUAAUGUGUGUGCGGUGAGAACCUCAUAUUCAACCCCAUUAAACGAUGGUAAAAUGGAUACGCGUGUAAGAUUGUGUUUCACAUAAUGGGAUAUGCAUUUUAAUGAUUGUGACGGUUGUGUGUUUUGCGAAUGUGAAUUAGGAAAAGCAGAUUAAAGCUCGAGAAGAAUUGUGAACUGUCAGUGUAAAAGAGCAAUGGCAUCAUCAGAGAGACUGGAUUUUGCUUUGAAGCUUUCGAAAAAAAUAUAUAUAUCUCAUCUGCAACACGAAGGGGAAUGAGCCAGAAGAAUGCAGCACCAUCUAUAUUCAUCUUUGUGACGAGAAUGAGGUCGAAUCAAUGAGGCAACUCUGUGGAGAAGGAAGAAAGAAGCAAGUCUCAGAACAACAAGAACAACAACUUUGUUGUUACCUGUGAUAUUGGAGACUCUUGGCAUGGUAUCAAGUAUAGUAGCCUGAAUUUGAAAACAGGUCGAGAUUAGAUAGCUUCUGUGUUCAAAGAUAUCCUUAAGAGGCCUUGAACUGGCCUUAUCUUAUCCACGUGUUAGCAGAACUUUGAGAGUGUUUGAUAUUAAAGGAACACAAGUGUUUGUCCUCUACAUGCGUAACAAUUAUGGCGAACUCUGCAGCGUCUUUGUCUGCACGACAGAAGCUUAAUGGAUGUUCGUCAGACACUAUUGUUCUGACACUGAACCGAAUAACAGCACUAGAUUGUGACAAAUUAGUGAUGGUUAGUUAUUUGUGUUUAAUUCAUCACUGGAUUUUUGGUUUGUGAAAAACUGGUUAUUGUGGGAAGCGUCUUGAUAAACAUUUUUGUGUUAAACAGUUGCCUAUAAGAUUAGAGCAUACGGUGUUUUAUAAUAGACAAACUUUAAAGUAUAUUUUUCUUUCAAGUUCGAGCCUGUAUUUUAUGAAUGAUUUGUGAAAAGUAUCAGACUUAUCUCAUUAACGAGGUUUGUCGUUCCAUUGAUUUGUGUCUCCAUUAUCGAAAAAAACUGAAAAUUCUUAAACUUUCAUUCAUUGAUAGCUGAAUAGAUUUUUAGAUGAGGUAUCGAAAUCGGUGCUCUAGAUCCAAAGAGAGUAUUUGGAUAA